GACGAACGCUGGCGGCGAGCUUAACACAUGCAAGUCGAACGGAAAGGCCCUGCUUUUGUGGGGUGCUCGAGUGGCGAACGGGUGAGUAACACGUGAGUAACCUGCCCUUGACUUUGGGAUAACUUCAGGAAACUGGGGCUAAUACCGGAUAGGAGCUCCUGCUGCAUGGUGGGGGUUGGAAAGUUUCGGCGGUUGGGGAUGGACUCGCGGCUUAUCAGCUUGUUGGUGGGGUAGUGGCUUACCAAGGCUUUGACGGGUAGCCGGCCUGAGAGGGUGACCGGCCACAUUGGGACUGAGAUACGGCCCAGACUCCUACGGGAGGCAGCAGUGGGGAAUAUUGCACAAUGGGCGGAAGCCUGAUGCAGCAACGCCGCGUGCGGGAUGACGGCCUUCGGGUUGUAGACCGCUUUCGCCUGUGACGAAGCGUGAGUGACGGUAAUGGGUAAAGAAGCACCGGCUAACUACGUG
rnacentral:rRNA from 1 species